rnacentral:rRNA from 1 species
UACGAAGGGGGCGAGCGUUGUUCGGAUUUACUGGGCGUAAAGGGCGCGCAGGCGGCUCAUUUUGUCAGGCGUGAAAGCCCCGGGCUUAACCUGGGAACUGCGUUUGAUACGGAUGGGCUAGAGUUCGGGAGAGGAGAGUGGAAUUCCCAGUGUAGAGGUGAAAUUCGUAGAUAUUGGGAAGAACACCGGUGGCGAAGGCGGCUCUCUGGACCGAUACUGACGCUGAGGCGCGAAAGCUAGGGGAGCAAACGGG